AACGAACGCUGGCGGCAUGCCUAACACAUGCAAGUCGAACGAGACCUUCGGGUCUAGUGGCGCACGGGUGCGUAACGCGUGGGAACCUGCCCUUAGGUUCGGAAUAACUCCCCGAAAGGGGUGCUAAUACCGGAUAAUGUCUUUGGACCAAAGAUUUAUCGCCUUUGGAUGGGCCCGCGUUGGAUUAGCUAGUUGGUAGGGUAAAAGCCUACCAAGGCGACGAUCCAUAGCUGGUCUGAGAGGAUGAUCAGCCACACUGGGACUGAGACACGGCCCAGACUCCUACGGGAGGCAGCAGUAGGGAAUAUUGGACAAUGGGCGAAAGCCUGAUCCAGCCAUGCCGCGUGAGUGAUGAAGGCCUUAGGGUUGUAAAGCUCUUUUACACGGGAUGAUAAUGACAGUACCGGGAGAAUAAGCUCCGGCUAACUCCGUG
rnacentral:rRNA from 1 species